AACCCAUGAUUAGGGCACCUUCUCAACAGAUCUUUGAAUCUCUCUCAUAGAUCAUAUAAUGUCUCCAAAUCAAUUUCAGAAAAAGAAGAGAUGUUCCUCAACUGAGCAC
rfam:Gossypium raimondii Chr08_contig_353, whole genome shotgun sequence.